GACGAACGCUGGCGGCGUGCCUAAUACAUGCAAGUCGAGCGAACAGACGAGGAGCUUGCUCCUCUGACGUUAGCGGCGGACGGGUGAGUAACACGUGGAUAACCUACCUAUAAGACUGGGAUAACUUCGGGAAACCGGAGCUAAUCCCGGAUAAUAUAUUGAACCGCAUGGUUCAAUAGUGAAAGACGGUUUUGCUGUCACUUAUAGAUGGAUCCGCGCCGCAUUAGCUAGUUGGUAAGGUAACGGCUUACCAAGGCAACGAUGCGUAGCCGACCUGAGAGGGUGAUCGGCCACACUGGAACUGAGACACGGUCCAGACUCCUACGGGAGGCAGCAGUAGGGAAUCUUCCGCAAUGGGCGAAAGCCUGACGGAGCAACGCCGCGUGAGUGAUGAAGGUCUUCGGAUCGUAAAACUCUGUUAUUAGGGAAGAACAAAUGUGUAAGUAACUAUGCACGUCUUGACGGUACCUAAUCAGAAAGCCACGGCUAACUACGUG
rnacentral:rRNA from 1 species